UUCAAUGCAUCCCUUGACAAAGUUGUGCCUGGCCUGCUGAAACUGUACUGGUCUAAGAAGGGAGUCUUGGUGAGGAGAUGGAAGACCUCCUGGAUAAACUUGAUGAACAGACAUCCAACACUGUGUCCAACGGGCACUGAGAGGCCUGCCCAUUUUCCUCAAGAGAAGAUGCAACAGAGGUUUUCCUGAAGUGCUUAGACACUGACAUUUUGGAACCAGUGUUGAACGGUGCAUCAGUUGCCAUCCUCACCAUCCUACAAGAUGACGAUGCUGAUACGUCUGUGCGAGAACAUGCAGUUGUGUUGGAAGGGGACAUUGUGCUACAUAACAUUCCAGAUCUCUCUACUGCCCUGGCACACCUCUUUGGCCUUCUGUAUGCCCUCAACAUUGAUUAUCCAAAGCAGAUGAGUUUUACCUUUGAAGCAAUUCAGGCCAUCUUAUUUUGGCCUGGUCGGACAAUAUGAAGGUGAAGUGGAUAAAUCAUUAUUCGAAAUGUAAAUUUUAGUCAGAUGAAUCUGUAUUGUUGAGAAUAUAUGGUGAAAAUUUGUCUUGUAGUAUUUUAAAAGAUUUUUAUAGUGUUAGUUUCCUCUUCAUUGAUGGUAACAUUUCUAAGAACUUUUAACUUCCAUAGUUCAUCAUAGUAAGCCUGUGUAAAAUGUCAAUGUCUGGGUGCAUAGGCAAUCGUUUGUAGCACUACCCUAUUUAAUGUGCAAUAGUUA